CCUACGGGUGGCAGCAGUGGGGAAUAUUGCACAAUGGGGGAAACCCUGAUGCAGCGACGCCGCGUGAGUGAAGCAGGAAUUCGUUAUGUAAAGCUCUAUCAGCAGGGAAGAAAAUGACGGUACCUGUGUAAGAAGCCGCGGCGAACUACGUGCCAGCAGCCGCGGUAAUACGGAGGGGGCAAGCGUUAUCCGGAGUUACUGGGUGUAAAGGGAGCGUAGACGGCAGUGCAAGUCUGGAGGGAAAGGCGGGGGCCCAACCCCCGGACUGGGCUGGAAACUGUACGGCUGGAGUGAAGGAGAGGUAAGCGGAAUUCCUAGUGUAGCGGUGAAAUGCGUAGAUAUUAGGAGGAACACCAGUGGCGAAGGCGGCUUACUGGACUGUAACUGACGUUGAGGCUCGAAAGCGUGGGGAGCAAACAGGAUUAGAUACCCCAGUAGUC
rnacentral:rRNA from 1 species